rnacentral:lncRNA from 1 species
AAUUAAUUUUACAUCUGUACAGAUGGCAACAGUGGUAGACUGUGUAUCCCCCUUACAGUUCAUGCCCUCUCCAACAGGUUAAAAUCACUCACUUUUUUUUUUUUUUUUUUUUUUGGUGAAAAUAUGGGAAUCUCUUUCCUUAAUUUGUCCCUUGUUUACAAUGACACCACACGGGAGCUGUAGUUUAUGGAGAUAAUUCUAUGGAAGGGACACUGCCUCUUUGUAUUUAUUUUGUUGACUGUCUUUAAGCUCCUUGGACUCUGUCUGUGGACUCUGAAACUCUUUCUUUUUCUACAGUGGAUAGUUUUGGCACAGAUGCACCAUUUUCAAGUGUCCCCCACACCACAUCAUGGCAGAAUUUUGGUCUCCUGACUAUACCAUCCAGCUGCUUUCUAUAGAAAAGAAGUUGGAUUCUCUCAAGGAAGAUUCUAUCACCUGCAGCGGAGCACAGCACCUGAGAGAAAGGAGUAGGCCUUGCCAGAAACUUCUCAGAACACAGGAAUGAAGACUCUGAUAUCCUGCUGUGUCAUCCAGCUGACUACACAGGACCAAUGGGCUACAGACAGCACAUCUACCAUGUUGGCAGCAAAAGGAGAGCAGAGGAAUGCAGUUGGAAGAGUGACAUUUCUGGACAGGGUAAAAAAUGGUGGAUGGAAUUGGAGACGCUCAUUCAGCUGAUGUGGGAAACAGAGGGGAAGAAUUUGAAGGCACACUUUAAUUCAUGGAGGUGCCAAGUGGAAGUUUGCGGUAGAUUGAGAUUUAGAACUCAAGAUUCAAGAACUCUCCUUUGCACAUCGGAUAGCUAUAGGUAACAGGCAUUAAAGGGUGCUCUGAAGACCUAGAAUAUGACAGAAGAAAAGAACCAUGUGUCUCAAUUCCAUAAAGAAGGGUCCUGGUUACACACAUCAAGCUGUGAUGUAUACAAGAAAUACACUUGUAUGUGUGUUAAACCACUGCAGUUUGGUGUAGUUUGCUUUUUUGCUUUACUGAUGAUUGAGAAAUUCAAAAGAAGAGAAAUCUAGGUAAGUAUACCUAGGUUUGAUAAACCUAAGAGAAGAAGUACAUGAA